GAGUUUGAUCAUGGCUCAGGAUAAACGCUGGCGGCGUGCAUGAGACAUGCAAGUCGAACGAGUGACCGGGCUUGCUCGGUCGCUAGUGGCGGACGGCUGAGUAACGCGUGGGUGACCUGCCCCGAAGUGGGGGAUAACUGCCCGAAAGGGUGGCUAAUACCGCAUGUGGCGGUGCGUUCGAUCGCACCAUCAAAGCCGAAAGGCGCUUCGGGAGGGGCCUGCGUCCGAUUAGCUCGUUGGUGGGGUAACGGCUCACCAAGGCGACGAUCGGUAGGUGGUCUGAGAGGACGAUCACCCAGACUGGACUGAGACACGGCCCAGACUCCUACGGGAGGCAGCAGUCGGGAAUUUUGCUCAAUGGGCGCAAGCCUGAAGCAGCAACGCCGCGUGAGGGAUGAAGGCCUUCGGGUUGUAAACCUCUUUUCUCAGGGACGAUGAUGACGGUACCUGAGGAAUAAGUCACGGCUAACUACGUGCCAGCAGCCGCGGUAAUACGUAGGUGACCAGCGUUGUCCGGAUUUACUGGGCGUAAAGAGCGCGCAGGCGGUCGUUCAAGUCGAGUGUGAAAGCCCCCGGCUCAACUGGGGAGGGUCACUCGAUACUGAUCGACUUGAAGGCGGGAGAGGGUAGUGGAAUUCCCGGUGUAGUGGUGAAAUGCGUAGAUAUCGGGAGGAACACCAGUGGCGAACGCGACUACCUGGCCCGUUCUUGACGCUGAGGCGUGAAAGCUAGGGGAGCAAACGGGAUUAGAUACCCCGGUAGUCCUAGCCGUAAACGAUGGACACUUGGUGUUGGUGGUAUCAACCCCACCAGUGCCGAAGCUAACGCAUUAAGUGUCCCGCCUGGGGAGUACGGCCGCAAGGCUAAAACUCAAAGGAAUUGACGGGGGCCCGCACAAGCAGCGGAGCGUGUGGUUUAAUUCGAUGUUACACGAAGAACCUUACCCGGGU
rnacentral:rRNA from 1 species